rnacentral:rRNA from 1 species
GGUUGCAAUCGCCUAGUUAUUAAUUCUGAUAAUUUGGAGGUUAUUGAAACGAUGAAUAAUGGCGGACGGUCAGCAGGAGCGGCGGCGGCAAUCUUUGAUGAUUGCUAUUUUUUGGCGUGUGAUUUUCCUACCUCUAGGUUUGAACAUUGUAAUAGGGAAGCCAAUAAGGUUGCGCACGGGCUUGCUAGGUUGGCUAGAUUUUCUUCUACCAUUGAUUGGUUGAGGAGCCUAUGUUUGAGAUUGUACCAUUUCCUCACAAACGAUGUAUCUGUUAAUUCCAUUGAAUAA